AUUGAACGCUGGCGGCAGGCCUAACACAUGCAAGUCGAACGAGUGGCGGACGGGUGAGUAAUGUCUGGGAAACUGCCCGAUGGAGGGGGAUAACUACUGGACACGGUAGCUAAUACCGCAUACCAUCGGAUGUGCCCAGAUGGGAUUAGCUAGUAGGUGGGGUAACGGCUCACCUAGGCGACGAUCCCUAGCUGGUUUGAGAGGAUGACCAGCCACACGUGAACUGAGACACGGUCCAGACUCCUACGGGAGGCAGCAUGGGGGAAUAUUGCACAAUGGGCGCAAGCCUGAUGCAGCCAUGCCGGGUGUAUGAAGAAGGCCGUCGGGUUGUAAAGUACUUUCAGCGAGGAGGCGUUACUCGCAGAAGAAGCACCGGCUAACUCCGUGCCAGCAGCCGCGGUAAUAC
rnacentral:rRNA from 1 species